UACGUAGGGCGCAAGCGUUUGUCCGGAAUUAUUGGGCGUAAAGAGCUCGUAGGCGGUUUGUCGCGUCUGCUGUGAAAACCUAAGGCUCAACCUUGGGCUUGCAGUGGGUACGGGCAGACUAGAGUGCGGUAGGGGGUGACUGGAAUUCCUGGUGUAGCGGUGGAAUGCGCAGAUAUCAGGAGGAACACCGAUGGCGAAGGCAGGUCACUGGGCCGCAACUGACGC
rnacentral:rRNA from 1 species